UACAGAGGGGGCAAGCGUUGUUCGGAAUUACUGGGCGUAAAGGGCGCGUAGGCGGCCACCGCAAGUCAAUUGUGAAAUCUCCGGGCUUAACUCGGAAAGGUCAACUGAUACUGCGGGGCUAGAGUGCGGAAGGGGCAACUGGAAUUCUCGGUGUAGCGGUGAAAUGCGUAGAUAUCGAGAGGAACACCUGCGGCGAAGGCGGGUUGCUGGGCUGACACUGACGCUGACAGCGCGAAAGCUAGGGGAGCGAACGGG
rnacentral:rRNA from 1 species